GAUGAACGCUGGCGGCGUGCCUAAUACAUGCAAGUCGAGCGAACGGACGAGAAGCUUGCUUCUCUGAUGUUAGCGGCGGACGGGUGAGUAACACGUGGAUAACCUACCUAUAAGACUGGGAUAACUUCGGGAAACCGGAGCUAAUACCGGAUAAUAUUUUGAACCGCAUGGUUCAAAAGUGAAAGACGGUCUUGCUGUCACUUAUAGAUGGAUCCGCGCUGCAUUAGCUAGUUGGUAAGGUAACGGCUUACCAAGGCAACGAUGCAUAGCCGACCUGAGAGGGUGAUCGGCCACACUGGAACUGAGACACGGUCCAGACUCCUACGGGAAGCAGCAGUAGGGAAUCUUCCGCAAUGGGCGAAAGCCUGACGGAGCAACGCCGCGUGAGUGAUGAAGGUCUUCGGAUCGUAAGACUCUGUUAUUAGGGAAGAACAUAUGUGUAAGUAGCUGUGCACAUCUUGACGGUACCUAAUCAGAAAGCCACGGCUAACUACGUG
rnacentral:rRNA from 1 species